rnacentral:misc_RNA from 1 species
GAUGAAGGAACGCAGCGAACGUGCGAAACGUAAUGUGAAUUGCAGAAUUCAGUGAAUCAUCGAAUCUUUGAACGCAUCUUGCGCUCCUUGGUAUUCCGAGGAGCAUGCCUGUUUGAGUGUCGUGAAUACUCUCAACUUCAACCCUUUUUUCGGAAAGGGAGGAAGGUUGGACUUGGGUGUUUGUUGAAGUGCGAGCUUCGACUCAUCCUAAAUGCAUUAGCGAUCUGCCUCGAUCACACACAAUGUGAUAAUUAAAACUAAAGCAUUGUUUAAUGAUCAAGUCGAGACUGCUUCUAACUGUCGCAAGACAAUAACGUGCAUACAUUUGUGCAUGUCAUUUGACCUCAAAUCAGGUAGGACUACCCGCUGAACUUAAGCAUAUCAAUAAGCGGAGGA